UACCAGCACCCCGAGUGGUCGGGACGAUUAUUGGGCCUAAAGCAUCCGUAGCCGGUCCUACAAGUCUUCCGUUAAAUCCACCUGCUUAACAGAUGGGCUGCGGAAGAUACUAUAGGGCUAGGAGGCGGGAGAGGCAAGCGGUACUCAGUGGGUAGGGGUAAAAUCCUCUGAUCCAUUGAAGACCACCAGUGGCGAAGGCGGCUUGCCAGAACGCGCUCGACGGUGAGGGAUGAAAGCUGGGGGGACGCAAACCGG
rnacentral:rRNA from 1 species